rnacentral:lncRNA from 1 species
UGUGCGUAAAAAAAAAAUCUAUGGAAGAAAACUUUAAAGCAUAAUAAAAAUAGAAAAAUAAAAGUGCAGAGGUGACAUACCUUUUUUAGCUUCUGGAAUUCCCUAAGUGAUUCUUUAGUGGUUGUUGUUGACAAAACCUUAUGUAUGAGAACUUAUUUUUUUUCUAUACUCUCUCUUUCAAUCUCUAUUAUUUCUAUCUCUUUUUCUCUAUUUUUUACCGUCCCCAUUUU